UACGAAGGGGGCUAGCGUUGCUCGGAAUCACUGGGCGUAAAGGGCGCGUAGGUGGUGGCUUAAGCGUGCGGUGAAAGCUCGGGGCUCAACCCCGAGUCGGCCGUGCGAACUGGGCUCACUGGAGCAUAGUAGAGGCAGGUGGAAUUCCGGGUGUAGCGGUGGAAUGCGUAGAGAUCCGGAAGAACACCGGUGGCGAAGGCGGCCUGCUGGGCUAUGGCUGACACUGAGGCGCGACAGCGUGGGGGAGCAAACAGG
rnacentral:rRNA from 1 species